rnacentral:rRNA from 1 species
CAGCCGCCGCGGGAAUACCAGCAGCCCAAGUGGUGGUCGCGAUUAUUGGGCCUAAAGCGCUCGUAGCCGGGCCGGUAAGUCCCUUGUGAAAUCGGACGGCCUAACCGUUCGGCGUGCAAGGGAUACUGUCGGUCUUGAGGCCGGGAGACGUCCGAGGUACUCCGGGGGUAGCGGUGAAAUGUUCUGAUCCUCGGGGGACCACCGGUGGCGAAGGCGUUCGACGAGAACGGGCCUGACGGUGAGGGGCGAAGGCUAGGGGAGCAAACGGGAUUAGAUACCCCAGUAGUCCCUGUCUCUUAUU